ensembl:lncRNA
CCUCCAUGAACGUGACCCUGGGAGAGGCAGCUCCCACUCCAGGCCCCAAAGCCGCCCUGGGGCCGGCAACACGCACUGCAGCAAACACAGACAUGGGCACACUCGCCAGCCUUGGAAGCUGGCACCCAGGAGUAAGCUGACGGCGUGGCAAGCACCCUCCAUACACCGCGGAGAGACCGGUUCACGUUGCAGGACACCAUAGACACAGGCCAGUCAGGUGACUAAGAGAGAGGUCCACAGAUGCCAGGAUUUGGAAAGCAUCCCAGAAAAUGCUGCUCAGGUGAAACGAACAAGAAAUGGAUGAAAAUGAGGAUUACAGGCUGAGUUUCACUGGCAACCCUCUCUUGAGAGGAGGACCACCCAGCCUGGGCAGGGGUCCGAGAGGUACUCGGAGACCUUGUACGUCAACACCUUGGCUGCUCAGGGGAUCUUCCCGACCCAAGGAUCAAACCUGCAUCUCCUGCACUGCCGGUGAAUUCCUUUCCCCUGAAAGAUGAUGCUGUGAAAGUGCUGCACUCAAUAUGCCAGCAAAUUUGGAAAACUCAGCAGUGGCCACAGGACUGGAAAAGGUCAGUUUUCAUUCCAAUCCCAAAGAAAGCCAAUGCCAAAGAAUGCUCCAGCUACCGCACAGUUGCACUCAUCUCACACGCUAGUAAAGGAAUGCUCAAAAUUCUCCAAGCCAG